rnacentral:rRNA from 1 species
AGUGAACGCUGGCGGUAGGCCUAACACAUGCAAGUCGAACGGCAGCACAGUAAGAGCUUGCUCUUACGGGUGGCGAGUGGCGGACGGGUGAGGAAUACAUCGGAAUCUACUUUUUCGUGGGGGAUAACGUAGGGAAACUUACGCUAAUACCGCAUACGACCUGCGGGUGAAAGCAGGGGAUCUUCGGACCUUGCGUGAUUGAAUGAGCCGAUGUCGGAUUAGCUAGUUGGCGGGGUAAAGGCCCACCAAGGCGACGAUCCGUAGCUGGUCUGAGAGGAUGAUCAGCCACACUGGAACUGAGACACGGUCCAGACUCCUACGGGAGGCAGCAGUGGGGAAUAUUGGACAAUGGGCGCAAGCCUGAUCCAGCCAUACCGCGUGGGUGAAGAAGGCCUUCGGGUUGUAAAGCCCUUUUGUUGGGAAAGAAAAGCAGCAGGUUAAUACCCCGCUGUUCUGACGGUACCCAAAGAAUAAGCACCGGCUAACUUCGUG